CAGCCACCUCACUGGUUCUUGGCCUGGCUCAUUCCGUUGUGUUGUGUCCCCUGGUCCCCGCCUGCAGUCCCAGGAGCUUGGAAAUUCACAAGGCAGGAUUCUGACAAAACUGCUCAACAGUUGAGUCACCUGAAAAAUGGCAGGAAACAAGGACAGCUCGGCUUCCAGGCGUCACAAACACCUCUGUGCCUGUGACAGUCUGUACCAGGCUCACAGCGUCCCAGGAGCCCUGAGCAGCGGGAUUGCAAGUCACAGUCAGGCGGGCACCCCAACUGCUGCCGUGGGGCCCACCUGGUGAAGACACCAUGCACAUUGCUCUGCUGUGGGCCCUCAUGACACCACACAGGGCACCAACUGCUGACUGGAAGCAGGGCCUGUCAGGAAACAACAUCCUGUUACACAGCCGUGACUGCCUGUCUUUGGAAUCCUGCUUCCUGCCCAGGGAGCCUGCUGCUUGUUGAGCGGGGCAAAGCCAGGCCACAGCCCUCACUUCUCCCGGGGGCUGGAGAAGCCAGUGUGAGAUGUCCGGGAACUUUUUAGUGACAAGUGACUUCACAAAAGGUGGGUAAUGGGAGUACAAGUGUAGAAUGACAUAUAGGCCCUUGGUGAGCAAAUGGAGGACAGUUGUCCCUCAUAAGUCCUGAGCUUCUGACUCUGCUCCCCUGGAUGUGACCUGUCUUUGUGGUGCUGAUUCUCAGAUAUUUUCCACUUAAGAUCCAUCAUCUGUUCUUGAACCCCAGAACUUCUGUAUAAAAAUAUUAACCAGGAAACAAUUCCUGCUAUUUCAUUUUGUUUUUCCAGAUUUAUUGAGGUAUUAUUGUAUAUACUGAGUUUUAUGUAACAUAUACAAUUGAACACAUGGAAUAAAAAUAUAUAUAUUAAA